GAAAGUUGUUGGGUUUACCAUUCUUGCAGAAGCAAACCAACCACAGUGGAGAUGGAUAUCUGAAGGAGCACAACCUGAAACACAGGUGUUGAAAAUCUGAACUAUGUACUGUGGGAUACCAGAAGUGGAAUCUCUACUUUGUGAGAUGCUUAUAUCUCUGUUUGUGCAAGUACCAUGAACCAAAAGCUUUCUUUGACUUGGCUGUUGUAGUUUCUUGGAUAGUGUUGUUGAUUGGUUAUUAUUAAUUUCAUCAGAAGAUCGUAAAAACUUGUUUGAAGGACCCGAUUGAAUUCCAAGAUUCCAAUCUGUAAUGAUAAGCAUCAUCAAGUAAAGGAAGCAAAUAUGACAAGAGCUCAUGAUAAC
rnacentral:misc_RNA from 1 species